rnacentral:rRNA from 1 species
GAUGAACGCUAGCGGGAGGCUUAACACAUGCAAGUCGUGGGGCAGCACAGGUAGCAAUACUGGGUGGCGACCGGCGCACGGGUGAGUAACGCGUAUGCAACCUGCCCUGUACAGGGGGAUAGCCCGGAGAAAUUCGGAUUAAUACCCCAUAAUGAUAUUAAGAGGCAUCUUUUGAUAUUUAAAGCUUCGGCGGUACAGGAUGGGCAUGCGUGACAUUAGCUAGUUGGUAGGGUAAUGGCCUACCAAGGCUUCGAUGUCUAGGGGUCCUGAGAGGGUGAUCCCCCACACUGGUACUGAGACACGGACCAGACUCCUACGGGAGGCAGCAGUGAGGAAUAUUGGUCAAUGGGCGCAAGCCUGAACCAGCCAUCCCGCGUGAAGGAAGAAUGCGCUAUGCGUUGUAAACUUCUUUUCCAGGGGAAGAAAAUCCUGUACGUGUACGGGACUGACGGUACCUUGGGAAUAAGCAUCGGCUAACUCCGUGCCAGCAGCCGCCGCAGUAA